rnacentral:rRNA from 1 species
AAAUGCACAUGCUGUGAGCUCGAUGAGUAGGGCGGGACACGUGGUAUCCUGUCUGAAUAUGGGGGGACCAUCCUCCAAGGCUAAAUACUCCUGACUGACCGAUAGUGAACCAGUACCGUGAGGGAAAGGCGAAAAGAACCCCGGCGAGGGGAGUGAAAAAGAACCUGAAACCGUGUACGUACAAGCAGUGGGAGCCUCUUUAUGGGGUGACUGCGUACCUUUUGUAUAAUGGGUCAGCGACUUAUAUUCUGUAGCAAGGUUAACCGAAUAGGGGAGCCGAAGGGAAACCGAGUCUUAACUGGGCGUUAAGUUGCAGGGUAUAGACCCGAAACCCGGUGAUCUAGCCAUGGGCAGGUUGAAGGUUGGGUAACACUAACUGGAGGACCGAACCGACUAAUGUUGAAAAAUUAGCGGAUGACUUGUGGCUGGGGGUGAAAGGCCAAUCAAACCGGGAGAUAGCUGGUUCUCCCCGAAAGCUAUUUAGGUAGCGCCUCGUGAAUUCAUCUCCGGGGGUAGAGCACUGUUUCGGCAAGGGGGUCAUCCCGACUUACCAACCCGAUGCAAACUGCGAAUACCGGAGAAUGUUAUCACGGGAGACACACGGCGGGUGCUAACGUCCGUCGUGAAGAGGGAAACAACCCAGACCGCCAGCUAAGGUCCCAAAGUCAUGGUUAAGUGGGAAACGAUGUGGGAAGGCCCAGACAGCCAGGAUGUUGGCUUAGAAGCAGCCAUCAUUUAAAGAAAGCGUAAUAGCUCACUGGUCGAGUCGGCCUGCGCGGAAGAUGUAACGGGGCUAAACCAUGCACCGAAGCUGCGGCAGCGACGCUUAUGCGUUGUUGGGUAGGGGAGCGUUCUGUAAGCCUGCGAAGGUGUACUGUGAGGUAUGCUGGAGGUAUCAGA